rnacentral:rRNA from 1 species
GAUGAACGCUAGCUACAGGUCUUAACACAUGCAAGUCGAGGGGCAUCAGGAAGAAAGCUUGCUUUCUUUGCUGGCGACCGGCGCACGGGUGAGUAACACGUAUCCAACCUGCCCUUUACUCGGGGAUAGCCUUUCGAAAGAAAGAUUAAUACCCGAUAGUAUAAUGAUUCCGCAUGGUUUCAUUAUUAAAGGAUUCCGGUAAAGGAUGGGGAUGCGUUCCAUUAGGUUGUUGGUGAGGUAACGGCUCACCAAGCCUUCGAUGGAUAGGGGUUCUGAGAGGAAGGUCCCCCACAUUGGAACUGAGACACGGUCCAAACUCCUACGGGAGGCAGCAGUGAGGAAUAUUGGUCAAUGGGCGCUAGCCUGAACCAGCCAAGUAGCGUGAAGGAUGAAGGCUCUAUGGGUCGUAAACUUCUUUUAUAUAAGAAUAAAGUGCAGUAUGUAUACUGUUUUGUAUGUAUUAUAUGAAUAAGGAUCGGCUAACUCCGUGCCAGCAGCCGCGGUAAUACGGAGGAUCCGAGCGUUAUCCGGAUUUAUUGGGUUUAAAGGGAGCGUAGGUGGACUGGUAAGUCAGUUGUGAAAGUUUGCGGCUCAACCGUAAAAUUGCAGUUGAUACUGUCAGUCUUGAGUACAGUAGAGGUGGGCGGAAUUCGUGGUGUAGCGGUGAAAUGCUUAGAUAUCACGAAGAACUCCGAUUGCGAAGGCAGCUCACUGGACUGCAACUGACACUGAUGCUCGAAAGUGUGNGUAUCANACAGG